UACGUAGGGUCCGAGCGUUGUCCGGAAUUAUUGGGCGUAAAGAGCUCGUAGGCGGUCUGUUGCGUCCGCUGUGAAAACUCGGGGCUUAACCCCGAGCCUGCAGUGGAUACGGGCAGACUAGAGGUAGGUAGGGGAGAAUGGAAUUCCCGGUGUAGCGGUGAAAUGCACAGAUAUCGGGAGGAACACCGGUGGCGAAGGCGGUUCUCUGGGCCUUACCUGACGCUGAGGAGCGAAAGCGUGGGGAGCGAACAGG
rnacentral:rRNA from 1 species